rnacentral:rRNA from 1 species
UACUUCCUUGUCAAAGCCUGAUCUUGUCCCAUCUCAGAGGCUAAGCAGGGCAGGGCCUGGUUAGUACUUGGAUGGGAAACCGCUGGGAAAAUCAGGAA